GCGGCCCCCGUGGGGUGGGGGCUUCGGCGGCUGGCAGCGCUGGCCCUGGUCCUGGCACUGGUCCGGGGACUGCCUGCCAACCCAGGCUGCGCAGCCGGUGCGCCCUGCCGAGUGGGCACCCCGGGUGUGGCACUUCACAGAGGAGAAGCUGGCCCAUUAAGGCCGGAGGAGGAUGAUCAGCCCAUCUACUUGGCAGUAAAGGGAGUGGUGUUUGAUGCCACUUCUGGAAAGGAGUUUAACGGACGAGGAGCCCCCUACAAUGUCCUUUUUUUUUUUGACUCAAUGUCUUGACUAAGAAGGAUGUCCCUAGAUCCUGCAGACCUCACCCAUGAUACUACGGAUCUCACGGCGAAGGAGCUGGAGUCCCUGGAUUAUGUCUUCACCAAAGUGUACAGAGCCAAAUAUCCCAUCAUUGGCUACACAGCCUGGAGAAUUCUCAACCAGGACGGCAGCCCCAACCUGGACUUCAAGCCUGAAGACCAGUCCCAUUUUGACAUCAAGGACAAGUUCUGAUGCUCCAUUUACAGGAGCAGGUUCU